AAGUCGUAACAAGGUUUCCGUAGGUGAACCUGCGGAAGGAUCAUUAGAGAGAAUCAAAAAGUCACACAUCUCGGUGUGUGUCUUUUUUCUUCUUCCUUUUUCACCCUCAGAACGUAUUGUGCACUUUGGACCCCUCUCGAAAGCGUUGUUUUCAAACAACUCUUUCCUACUUUCUUUACACGCUCAAAACAUGUCUUGAAUGUUGAUACAAAUUCAUAAAGAGUACAACUUUCAGCAACGGAUCUCUUGGCUCUC
rnacentral:misc_RNA from 1 species